rnacentral:pre_miRNA from 1 species
GGCUUAGGAUGGUGCAAAUUUAUUAUUUUUAAAUUAAUUUGCGACCAUAUCCAAAGCCCGU